AGAAAGCUGCGAAGAGAAAAGAAGAUUGGAAUUGGUUUUGCUUCGGGUCCCACAUGAAAUGAGAUAAUGGGUUUUGAUAUUUAUGAUACAUAUAUAUAUAUAUAUAUAUAUUUUGUAUCAGUUUGUGAUGAUGGAACCGGAUGAUAAGAAUGGAAAGUUAGAGUUGCUAUAGGUGAUGAUGCAAGUAAGAAAGAAAAGGUGGUUGCCGACAUUGGUGGAAAAAGGAAGAGAUGAUGUGGCGGGACCCAAUUGCUUUUUGGUUCAAAUUGUGAUCAUUGUGUUGAUAUUUGAUAUUUAUUUUCUUGGUGAGAAGUAUUGAGAUAUUUUUUGGGUGUCGGUAGAAUUGCUUAUAUAUGUAUUUGGCUUUGGGUAAAUGAAUCAGGGAAGAAGAGAAUUAGAGUGAGAGCAGAGAGGUUUGAGACACACAGAGAGCCGAGAGUUAAAGCUUGAUGAUCUGAAAUCUUUUUUUGGAGUUUUCAGGUAUCGUGGAUUGCUAGUUGCGGGCUUAGGUGGAAGAGUUGGUGUUGAGGAUAUUAUUUAAUUUAUUUAGAGAAUUUUGUAUAUUUAUUUGAGGAAUUGAUUCUGUAUCAAUAAAAUGAUAUUUCUUUUUGAGAUCCUGGGUAUAAUACUGAUGUAUUUGAAUUUGAAUAAAUCGAGGAAUUUAUUUAGAAAAUUUGGGGCGUUACAGAAUGGUAUCAGAGCCUAUACCCAGCCGGAAGUGUGAGUGUAGUGAUGAUGUAUUUGAUGGGUGUAAGUGGGCAAGUGGUUAGUUCUAACUAGUUACCACUUGUAGCCGGAUGUGUGUGGGCAGAUGUCGUUCACUGGCAACUACUAAGAUUAUUACUGUUUGUGAUUAGGCAUGUGUCCUGGGUUCAUUAUUGGUUUUAUUUUUUUAUGGGCAGGUGACGACAUUAGCUUUCUACCACAACGGUUAUAGAGUGUGUGGGCGGGUAACUAGUACUGUCAGCUACAAUAACAUUUUUUAUGUCACUGUAUCUCACAUUGCCUAGGGUAAGGAUUUUUAGAUUUUGUUUUGUCACUUUUUGACGUUUUUGAGUAUGUGAAGACUGUUGGAUCUGAAUUUCAGGACGAAAUUCUUUUUAAUUGGUGGAGAAUGUGACAACCCGAAUUUUUAAGAUUUUAAUUUAUAUUUAUUUCUAUCAUUUUUAAUUUUUGCGAUUAAUUAUUAAUGAUAUUGGGUCUUGAUUUGUUAAAUUUACAAAUCUCUUUUUUCUUUUUGGACGGAUGGUGGUUGAUUUGAUUUAUUGCAUUGUAUAUAUAUAUUAUAUAUGCAUGUAUCUAUAGCUUCUGGUGGAGGGAAUAAGAAAGCUGCGAAGAGAAAAGAAUAUUGGAAUUGGUUUUGUUUCGGGUCCCAUGUGAAAUGAGAUAAUGGGUUUUGAUAUUUAUGAUACAUAUAUAUAUUUUGUAUCAAUUUGUGAUGAUGGAAUUAGGUGAUAAGAAUGGAAAUUUAGAGUUGCUAUAGGUGAUGAUGCAAGUAGGAAAGAAGAGGUGGUUGCCGACAUUAGUGGAAAAAGGAAGAGAUGAUGUGGCGGGACCCAAUUGUUUUUUGGUUCAAAUUGUGAUCAUUGUGUUGAUAUUUGAUAUUUUAUUUUCAUGGUGAGCUGUUUUGAGAUAUUUGUUGAGUGUCAGUAGAAUUGAUUAUAUAUGUAUUUGGCUUUAGGUAAAUGAAUCAGAGAAGAAGAGAAAUUAGAGUAAGAGCAGAGAGGUCUGAGACACGAGAGCCGAGAGUUGAAGCUUGAUGAUCUGAAAUCUUAUUUUGCAGUGGAGGGUUCUUCAUACCUUGAAUGGCCUAAUGAUUUUGUUUCAAUUAUUUUAUUGAAUGAUAUUUUGUUAAAAUUGCAUAUAUGUAUUUUGUUUAAAUGUAUAUGUAUAUUUUUGUGAAGUUAAUUUUGCAUGAAACUUCUUGAAAUCCUUAUUAUGGUUUUUUUUACUAGGACUUCCCAGUCUCACCCCCUUUCGGUUUCAGGUACUAUGGAUUGCUAGUUGCGGGCUUAGAUGGAAGGGUUGGUGUUGAGGAUAUUAUUUAAUUUAUUUAGAGAAUUUUAUAUAUUUAUUUGAGGAAUUGAUUCUGUAUUAAUAAAAUGAUAUUUCUUUUUGAGAUCUUGGGUGUAAUAUUGAUGUAUUUGAAUUUGAAUGAAUGGAGGAAAUUACUUAGAAAA